GUUCAAACUUGACUGCUAAUUCUGCAUGAUGUUAAAGAAAGAAGGAGAACCAGGUUUUCUAAAAUACAUGCAGUGAUAGAAAUUGCUUAACUUCAGAUGGUGCCGAGGGGGCCUAUUUUAUCCUAGUAGAGGG